rnacentral:lncRNA from 12 species
CAUUUGUUCAAGUUGGGAUUUAUUGUUUGUUGUUUCCUGUUUUUAAUGACAGGACAAUGAAAUGUGUGUGUUUUAAAUUAUUAGUGCAUGUCAACCAAUUUAUUUGCUUACAGUUGCCUCUUGCCAUUCAUUCUUGCCAUCCAGGAGCCAGUAGAGCAUGGUGACCAAAUGUGAGCCUGGGUUCGGAUGCACUGUCAGACACUCACCAAGGGGAAGGCCUUGGGCAAAAGAAAAAUGGAAGAAAAUAAUAUGUUCACAAAACUGGGAAAGAAGAAGUACCAAGAUCAUGAGGGAGUCUUGCAUGUUAAGUGCCACAGAAAUCAAGUGUGAUGAGAAAAGAGAAGAAUCUGCUGGAUUCUAUGUGAGUGAAUAAGACUGCAUUGAGAAAAUAAACUGGGUAUUUCAAGCA